rnacentral:rRNA from 1 species
AUGGCCGGCGACCAAGAGGAGUCGGAGCGGGAGUCCCCGGCGCCGGCUGCGGAGCGGGUCGCCGCCGCGGUGGAGACCGUGGCGGCGCCCGGGGAGUUCCGGAACGCUUACCGGCGGCAGCUGCUGGCGCUGUCCCGCCGGAUUCGCCUCCUCGGACCCUUCGCCGAGGAGCUCCGCGAGCGCCGCCGCCCCCCGGGGGAGGAGGAGGAGCGGGCGCUGGCGACGCUCGCCGACGCGCUGGAGAAGGCGCUCGAGCUGCUCAAGCUCGGCCGCGAGGGGAGCAGGAUCUCUUUGGUUUUUAAUAGGGAUAGAGUAAUGAAUAUAUUUCAGGAAGUAGUUGCUCAGUUGGAACAAGCUUUGCACGACUUUCCAUACAAUGAACUGGAUAUAUCGGAUGAAGUUAGAGAACAGGUUGAGUUAGUGCAUGCACAGCUGAAAAGAGCAAAAGAACGGGUUGAUAUGCCUGAUGAUGAGUUCUACAACGACCUAAUAUCUCUGUAUAACAAGACCUAUGACCCAAGUGCGGAACUGGCUAUCCUUGAAAGGUUGUCAGAAAAGCUACACCUCAUGACUAUCACUGAUCUCACGCAAGAGUCACUUGCUCUGCAUGAGAUGGUGGCAUCUGGUGGUGGCCAGGAUCCAGGAGAGCACAUUGAGAAAUUGUCAAUGCUACUGAAGAAAAUCAAGGACUUUGUGCAAACUAACAACCCUGAGAUGGGCCCUCCUAUGGCUUCCAAAAUAAUGGAUACCAGUGGGGACCAGAAAUCUGUCAUCGUUCCUGAUGAAUUCCGUUGUCCAAUUUCUCUCGAGCUGAUGAAAGAUCCUGUGAUAGUUGCUACUGGCCAGACAUAUGAAAGGUCGUGCAUCGAGAAAUGGCUAGCAUCUGGGCAUCACACUUGCCCAACUACGCAACAAAGGAUGGCGAACACAACAUUGACGGCAAACUAUGUCCUUAGAAGUCUCAUCUCCCAGUGGUGUGAAACCAACGGAAUUGAAGCGCCUAAGCGCUCAUCCCAGCCUAGCAAGCCAAUGCCAGCAUGCUCUUCUAGUGAACGUGCUAACAUUGAUGCUCUAUUAUCCAAGUUAUGCUCUCCAGACCCUGAGGAGCAGAGGUCAGCUGCUGCAGAGCUUCGCCUCCUCGCAAAGCGGAACGCACACAACCGACUAUGCAUUGCUGAGGCUGGUGCAAUUCCCUUACUAUUGAGUCUGUUAUCGUCAUCUGACUUGCGGACUCAGGAACAUGCUGUUACUGCACUUCUGAACCUCUCCAUACACGAGGACAACAAGGCAAGCAUCAUGUCCUCUGGUGCUGUGCCUAGUGUUGUUCAUGUGCUGAAGAAUGGCAGUAUGGAGGCCCGGGAAAAUGCUGCAGCCACACUUUUUAGCCUCUCUGUGGUCGAUGAAUACAAAGUAAUGAUUGGGGGAACAGGGGCUAUCCCUGCCCUUGUAGUGUUGCUAAGUGAGGGCAGCCAGCGGGGUAAGAAAGACGCAGCAGCAGCUCUCUUCAACUUGUGCAUUUACCAAGGUAACAAAGGCCGUGCGAUACGAGCUGGCCUUGUGCCACUCAUCAUGGGUCUAGUAACCAACCCCACAGGAGCUCUCAUGGACGAGGCUAUGGCGAUACUCUCAAUACUAUCCAGCCACCAAGAGGGGAAGGCAGCUAUCGGGGCAGCAGAGCCUGUUCCUGCGCUUGUCGAGUUGCUCGGAAGUGGGUCACCGAGAAACAGAGAGAAUGCUGCAGCUGUGAUGCUGCAUCUGUGCAGCGGCGAGCAACAGCUUGUGCAUUUAGCCCGUGCGCAUGAGUGCGGGAUCAUGGUUCCGUUGCGGGAGCUGGCAUUGAACGGCACAGAAAGGGGAAAGAGGAAGGCAGUGCAGUUGCUCGAGCGGAUGAGCAGAUUCGUGGUUCAGCAACAAGAGGAACAGGAAUCUAAUUCUCGGCUGCAGGCCGCCGUGGCACAAGUUCUCCCUCAGGCCCCUGAACAGGUCCAAGAAAGGGACAUCCCCGAUCAAUUGGACAGUCCGGCAUCUCAAUACCCCACGUUGUUAUGA